rnacentral:lncRNA from 1 species
CUUUGAAGUCAUGGAUCUGACUCUUCCAGUAACUCCAAGGCUGCUCAUUGACUCUUUCCAAUCAGUGAUGGAAUUCUGUCAAAAAUUCUAGUACCUUGACUUGGCCACAGGUGGAAUUCCGAGAGAUAAUGUCUUGCAGACAUUCAAGUGGUCUCUGGGGAUGAAGUGAAAAAACGAGCGCAUGGACUCUGAGGUUGUGGGAGUAGCAGGCUGAAAGAUCCUGUUGUGGGUGUGGGGGAGACAAAGCUUAUUAAAGCUUACACCCUUGAAUCAUGCCUGACUCCGCUAUUCCCCUUUGGAUCAAGCUCCCUCUAACAAGUGUGGAGCAUCCUAUCUGCAGGAGCUCAGAGUCCAGAUUCCGGAUCUCCUCUCUACCCUUUGAAACAUGGCGGAGGUCUAGAAGGACAUCACCGGUGUCCCAGGCAAAGCGUUUUGGUCAGCAAGUCUGGAUUUGAGGAUGGGAUCCCCCACUUACUAGACAUUGGGCAAGCUCAUUCCCUUUACAUGGCGGAGCCAGAGCCAAUGCAGCAGCCCAGAGGUGCCGGAAUGUCUUUCAUCCCUGGGAAGAUAGAGAAGGAGCAUUUUGCCCUUUGCUGAGUGCAAGGACAGAGCUGAGUCAUCUCCGAUUUUCCAUCCCCUUCACACUUGAUUUUUCAUGGGAAUCAUAAGGUGGCUGAAAGAAUUCUUCUUGGAACCCAUAGCUUUUCAUCUCUACUGCUGGGAAAGAGAAGGAAAAAAGGAAAUGCAGGCUUUGGGUUUGAGGCACCAGGAGGGACCGAGAGAAUGCCUUGCCCAUAGUUCUUGCCCAGAAGGACUGUAUGGGCUUCCUAGGGAGACAAACAUCAGCUGUAAAAUGAUCAGGAAACAUAAACAAGACAAUAAUGGCAAUAAAAGAGCUGAUCUUCUAUAGACCAGGCUUCUUAUUUUGUGUGUGUCCUACUCUCCUUCAUUGUUCUGGUGAAGCCUAUGG